UCCUAGCUGGCUUAGUUGGUACAGCAUGUGACUCUUGAUCUCAGCGUCAUGAGUACAAACCCCAUGUUGGGCA
rnacentral:tRNA from 1 species